GGCUUCGGCCUUGACGUUUUCGGGCUUCAAUGCUUCUACCUGAGCAUUUCGUAUCUGCUAGACUGAAUCGUAAGCUGUAGCGCUCGCACGCGCUUCGGUAAGGUGUCCUUUCGACUCAGAGCGUCAGCCACAACAUUGGCUUUGCCUGGAUGGUACUUGAUGGCGCAUUCGUAGUCGUUAAGUAACUCGACCCAUCGUCGUUGACGCAUGUUCAAAUCCUUCUGCU
rnacentral:lncRNA from 1 species